rnacentral:tRNA from 1 species
GCUGGUGUAGCUCAACGGUAGAGCGCCUGAUUUGUAAUCAGAAGGUUGCGGGUUCGAUUCCCAUCACCAGCUCCA